rnacentral:rRNA from 1 species
AGCAGCCGCGGUAAUUCCAGCUCCAAUAGCGUAUAUUAAAGUUGUUGCAGUUAAAAAGCUCGUAGUUGAAUUUCGGGAUCAUCAGGUUGGUCGUGCCUCUGGUAUGUACUGAUCUCGACGGUUCCUCCUUCUUGAAGAACCGUAAUGCCAUUAAUUUGGUGUUGCGGGGAAACAGGACUGUUACUUUGAAAAAAUUAGAGUGUUUAAAGCAGGCAAUCGCUUGAAUACAUUAGCAUGGAAUAAUGAAAUAGGACGUUCGAUCCUAUUUUGUUGGUUUCUAGGAUUGACGUAAUGAUUAAUAGGGAUAGUUGGGGGCAUUAGUAUUCAAUUGUCAGAGGUGAAAUUCUUGGAUUUAUUGAAGACUAACUACUGCGAAAGCAUUUGCCAAGGAUGUUUUCAUUAAUCAAGAACGAAAGUUAGGGGAUCGAAGACGAUCAGAUACCGUCGUAGUCUUAACCAUAAACUAUGCCGACUAGGGAUCGGAUGAUGUUAAUUUUUAAUGUA